GAUGAAGAACGUAGUGAAAUGCGAUAAGUAAUGUGAAUUGCAGAAUUCAGUGAAUCAUCGAAUCUUUGAACGCACCUUGCACCCUUUGGCAUUCCGAAGGGUAUGCUCGUUUGAGUGUCAUUGUACUCUCACUCUCCCGAUGCUUUUGGAUCGGGAGUGGUGGACUUGGGUGUUGCUGCUUUGCUGUGGCUCGCCUCAAAUGGAGUAGUGCAACUCUUGGUUGGACAUAGUACGGCGUGAUAAGUGUCUUCGCCGGCGCCUCAUUAUAGAGGGUGGCCGAUCGGGAGCUCUGUGCUUCAAACCGUCUUCGGACAACAUCUGACAACUUGACCUCAAAUCGAGUAGGACUACCCGCUGAACUUAAGCAUAUCAAUAGCGGAGGA
rnacentral:misc_RNA from 1 species